rnacentral:rRNA from 1 species
GAAGCUGCGAAUGGCUCAUUAAAACAGUUAUAGUUUAUUUGAUAAUCGAAUGCUACAUGGAUAACCGUGCUAAAUCGUGGCUAAUACAUGCUUUAAAACCUGACUCUAUGGAAAGGUUGUAUUUAUUAGAUACCAAGCCAAUACCCUUCGGGGUUUUGAGGUGAAUCAUAAUAACUGAUCGGAUCCCAAGUUUGGGAUAAAUCAUUCAAGUUUCUGCCCUAUCAGCUUCCGAUGGUAGUGCAUUGGACUACCAUGGCAGUCACGGGUAACGGAGAAUUAGGGUUCGGUUCCGGAGAGGGAGCCUGAGAAACGGCUACCACAUCUAAGGAAGGCAGCAGGCGCGUAAAUUACCCAAUCCUGACUCAGGGAGGUAGUGACAAGAAAUAACAACCUGGGGGACUUCGCGUCCUUACGGGAUUGCAAUGAGAACAAUUUAAAACACUUAUCGAGGAACAAUUGGAGGGCAAGUCUGGUGCCAGCAGCCGCGGUAAUUCCAGCUCCAAUAGCGUAUAUUAAAGUUGUUGCAGUUAAAAAGCUCGUAGUUGAACUUCUGGUUGCGACUGGCCCAGGCUUCGGUCGGGUCAGGACGCAGCCAUCCGCCUGCAAACCCUUCGCGACCUUAACUGGCUCGGUUGGGGGAGUAGGCAUUUUACCUUGAAAAAAUUAGAGUGUUUAAGGCAGGCAAUGGCUUGAAUACAUUAGCAUGGAAUAAUGGAAUAGGGACUUGGGUCCGUUUGGUUGGCUAUCGGUCUCGAGUAAUGAUUAAUAGGGACAGUUGGGGGCAUUAGUAUUUAAUAGUCAGAGGUGAAAUUCUUGGAUUUAUUAAAGACUAACUUAUGCGAAAGCAUUUGCCAAGGAUGUUUUCAUUAAUCAAGAACGAAAGUUAGGGUAUCAAAGACGAUUAGAUACCGUCGUAGUCUUAACUAUAAACUAUACCGACUCGGGAUUGGACGGGUGGUUUUAGCUCGUCCAGCACCGUAUGAGAAAUCAAAGUCUUUGGSUUCUGGGGGGAGUAUGGUCGCAAGGCUGAAACUUAAAGGAAUUGACGGAAGGGCACCACCAGGAGUGGAGCCUGCGGCUUAAUUUGACUCAACACGGGGAAACUUACCAGGUCAAAACAUGGGUGGGAUUGACAGAUUGAGAGCUCUUUCUUGAUUCUAUGGGUGGUGGUGCAUGGCCGUUCUUAGUUGGUGGAGUGAUUUGUCUGGUUAAUUCCGUUAACGAACGAGACCUUAACCUGCUAACUAGCACCCUGGUCCUCAACUGGGGCUGCUUCUUAGAGGGACUAUGCGGGACUACUGCAUGGAAGUUUGAGGCAAUAACAGGUCUGUGAUGCCCCUAGAUGUCCUGGGCCGCACGCGCGCUACAAUGAUACGUGCAACAAGUAUUACCCUGGUCCGACAGGAUUCGGGUAAUCUUCAUAAUGCGUAUCGUGUUAGGGAUAGAUCUUUGUAAUUAUAGAUCUUGAACGAGGAAUUCCUAGUAAGUGCAGGUCAUCAGCCUGUACUGAUUACGUCCCUGCCCUUUGUACACACCGCCCGUCGCUCCUACCGAUUUCGAGUGGUCCGGUGAACCUUUUGGACUGCGCUGUCCCUUGACAGUGCGGGAAGUUAAGUAAACCUUAUCACUUAGAGGAAGGAGAAGUCGUAACAAGGUAGCCGU